AUUGUCUGAAAGAAAAUAUGGUAUGUCUAAACUGGAAAAGUCCUGUAAUCUUAUGUUCAUGGGCGUUUACACAAUGGAGUUACUGUUCAUCAUGGGGGUACCGUGGACAAUCCCAGGGCUGCCGACAUGAACUUAUGAAUUCAACAGGUGAAGAUUUACUACUUGAUAAAUCAGCUUUGUGAGCUCGAGCUGUAAAAGCCAAAGGUCCGGUGAUGAUCCCAUACCCUUUUUUCCAGUCUCAUGUUGAAGAUUUUUAUGUAGAAGGCCUUCCCAAAGGAAUUUUUUUUUUUUUUUUUGAGAUGGAGUUUUCACUCUUAUCGCCCAGGCUGGGGUGCAGUGGCGCAACCUUGCUGGUCACUGCAACCUCUGCCUCCUGGGUUCAAGAAAUUCUCCUGCCUUAGCCUCCCAAGUCGCUGGGAUUACAGGUGCCCACCACCACACCAGGCUAAUUUUUGUAUUUUUAGUGGAGAUGGGGUUUCACCAUGUUGGCCGGGCCAGUCUCGAACUCCUGACGUCAAGUGAUCUUCCCGCCUCGGCCUUCCAGAGUGCUGAGAUUACAGACGUGAACCCAUGCCUGGCCAGGAAUUUUGUUUUUUAGGAAGGCUUUCUACUAAUGGAAUUCCUGGCCUUGAGAGGAUGUUACUUUCGAAGGAAAGGAUUUUUUUGUUAUUAAAAGAAACAGGACCUUGCCCUGUCACUCAGGAUGGAGUUCAGUGCUCCUAUCAUGGCUCAUUAUAGCCUCAAACUCCCAGGCUCAAGCAAUCCUACCAUGUCAGCCUUCCCGUAGCUGGGACUACAGAGACGAGGUUUCGCCGUGUUUCCCAGACUGUUCUCAAACUCCUGAGCUCAAAGCAGUCCACCCACCUUGGCCUCCCAGAGUGCUGGGAUUACAGGUGUGAGCCAUCUUGCUCAUUCUAGUUUAAACUUUUGAGUGGUUUGUGUCUCCUGAUUGGACUCCUACAAAUACAGAAUUGAUGCUAGGAAGGGUACCAGGAGAUAGACGCACACAGAUGGGAUUUGGGAAUAGGUUUGGUUAUCCAAGGAGCAGUGCUGAGCUCCUUGCUAAUGGGAUAUGGGAUGCUGGUGAUUUCCAGGAAGUGAGCUCACAAUGACUCAAGCUGCCACAUACUGUUGAUUGUGAAAUGCCGGUUGAAGUAUAUGUCCUGCGAGCUUAGGGGUGCUACAAGUUGACCACUGCAGCAGUAAAGAUGACUCUGAAGAAUGGCGUGGGAUGGAUCCUUUCAAAUGCACUUGAGCAGCGGUCUCCAACCACAGGGCCACAGAACUGGAGGUGAGCAGCAGGCGAGUGAAGGGAAACUUCAUCUGUAUUUCUAGCCCCUCCCAUCGCUUGCAUGACCACCUGAGCUCCAUGUCCUGUCAGAUCAGCAGCAGCAUUAGAUUCUCAUAGGAGCACAAACUCUGUUGUGAAGUGUGCAUGUGAGGGAUCUAGGUUGUGUACUCCUUAUGAGAAUCUAAUGCCUGAUAUUCUGUUACUGUCUCCCAUCACCCCAGAUGGACAGUCUAGUUGCAGGAAAACAAGCUCAGAGAUCCCACUGAGUCUACGUUAUACUGGAUCUACCAUGAAGGACUUCUGAAUCCAGGAAGAGAGACUGACUGGGCAACAUGUUAUUCAGGUACAAAAAGAUUUGGACUGUAACUUAAAAAUGAUCAAAUAAUAGUGCAUGCAUCAAGUGCAAUGGGAAGCUCUUCUGGAGAGUGAGAGAAGCUUCCAGUUAAGGUGACAUUGAAGCCAAGUCCUGAAAGAUGAGGAAGAGUUGUAUGAGAGUGGGGAGGGAAGGGGGAGGUGGAGGGAUGGGGAAUGGGCCGGGAUGGGAUAGCGCAAACUGCCCGGGAAGGGAAACCAGCACCGUACAGACCUGAACAACGAAGAUGGCGUAUUUUGUUCAGGGAAUGGUGAAUUAAGUGUGGCAGGAAUGCUUUGUAGACACAGUAAUUUGCUUGUAUGGAAUUUUGCCUGAGAGACCUCAUUGCAGUUUCUGAUUUUUUGAUGUCUUCAUCCAUCACUGUCCUUGUCAAAUAGUUUGGAACAGGUAUAAUGAUCACAAUAACCCCAAGCAUAAUAUUUCGUUAAUUCUCACAGAAUCACAUGUAGGUGCCACAGUUAUCUCCAUUUUAUGAAUGGAGUGAUGAAGCCUUAGGAAUAAUGAAUGAUUUGUGCAGGCUCACCUGGAUAUUAAGACUGAGUCAAAUGUUGGGUCUGGUCUGACUUUAAUGUUUGCUUUGUUCAUGAGCACCACAUAUUGCCUCUCCUAUGCAGUUAAGCAGGUAGGUGACAGAAAAGCCCAUGUUUGUCUCUACUCACACACUUCUGACUGAAUGUAUGUAUGGAGUUUCUACACCAAAUUCUUCAGUGCUCUGGAUAUUAACUGGGUAUCCCAUGACUUUAUUCUGACACUACCUGGAGUUAGCACAGACCCCACAAGUUAGGGGCUCAGUCCCACGAGGCCAUCCUCACUUCAGAUGCCAAUGGCAAGUCCUAAGUUGUCACCAUACUUUUGACCAACCUGUUACCAAUCGGGGGUUCCCAUAACUGUCUUCUUGGGUUUAAUAAUUUGCUAGAACAGUUUACGGAACUCAGAAAGACAGUUUAUUUUCUUUUUUUCUGAGAGAGAGGGUCUUAUUUUGUUGCCCAGGCUGGUGUGCAAUGGUGCAGUCAUAGCUCAUUGCAGCCUUGAUUGUCUGGGCUCCAGUGGUUCUCCCACCUCAGCCUCCCUAGUAGCUGAGACUACAUGCCUGCACCACCACAUCUGGCUAGUUUCUUUUAUUUUUUGUAUAGAUGGGGUCUUGUUGUGUUGGCCAGGCUGGCCACAAAUUCCUGGUCUCAAGUGAUCCUCCCACCUCAGCCUCUGAAAGUGCUGGGAUUACAGAUGUGAGCCACCACAUCUGGCCAGUUCAUUUCCUAUUACUGGUUCAUUGUGAAGGAUACAUCUCAGAAACAGUCAAUGAAAGAGACGUGCAUGCUGGAUGCAGUGGCUCAUGCCUGUAAUCUCAGCACUUUGGGAGGCCAAGGUGGGAGGAUCGCUUAAACUCAGGAGUUUGAGACCAGCCUGGGCAACAUGGUGAAAACCUGUCUCUAUAAAAAA